AUUGAACGCUGGCGGCAGGCCUAACACAUGCAAGUCGAGCGGAUGAAGAGAGCUUGCUCUCUGAUUCAGCGGCGGACGGGUGAGUAAUGCCUAGGAAUCUGCCUGGUAGUGGGGGACAACGUUUCGAAAGGAACGCUAAUACCGCAUACGUCCUACGGGAGAAAGCAGGGGACCUUCGGGCCUUGCGCUAUCAGAUGAGCCUAGGUCGGAUUAGCUAGUUGGUGGGGUAAAGGCUCACCAAGGCGACGAUCCGUAACUGGUCUGAGAGGAUGAUCAGUCACACUGGAACUGAGACACGGUCCAGACUCCUACGGGAGGCAGCAGUGGGGAAUAUUGGACAAUGGGCGAAAGCCUGAUCCAGCCAUGCCGCGUGUGUGAAGAAGGUCUUCGGAUUGUAAAGCACUUUAAGUUGGGAGGAAGGGCAGUAAGUUAAUACCUUGCUGUUUUGACGUUACCAACAGAAUAAGCACCGGCUAACUUCGUGCCAGCCGCCGCCGUAAUAC
rnacentral:rRNA from 1 species